rnacentral:rRNA from 1 species
GAUGAACGCUGGCGGUCUGCUUAACACAUGCAAGUCGAACGGGCUCUUCGGAGCUAGUGGCGGACGGGUGAGUAACACGUGAGAAUCUGGCUCCCGGUCGGGGACAACAGAGGGAAACUUCUGCUAAUCCCGGAUGAGCCGAAAGGUAAAAGAUUUAUCGCCGGGAGAUGAGCUCGCGUCUGAUUAGCUAGUUGGUGAGGUAAAGGCUCACCAAGGCGACGAUCAGUAGCUGGUCUGAGAGGAUGAUCAGCCACACUGGGACUGAGACACGGCCCAGACUCCUACGGGAGGCAGCAGUGGGGAAUUUUCCGCAAUGGGCGCAAGCCUGACGGAGCAAGACCGCGUGGGGGAGGAAGGCUCUUGGGUUGUAAACCCCUUUUCUCAAGGAAGAACACAAUGACGGUACUUGAGGAAUAAGCCUCGGCUAACUCCGUGCCAGCAGCCGCGGUAAUACGGAGGAGGCAAGCGUUAUCCGGAAUGAUUGGGCGUAAAGCGUCCGUAGGUGGCAGUUCAAGUCUGCUGUCAAAGACAGUAGCUCAACUACUGAAAGGCAGUGGAAACUGAACAGCUAGAGUACGGUAGGGGCAGAGGGAAUUCCCGGUGUAGCGGUGGAAUGCGUAGAUAUCGGGAAGAACACCGGUGGCGAAAGCGCUCUGCUGGGCCGUAACUGACACUGAGGGACGAAAGCUAGGGGAGCGAAUGGGAUUAGAUACACCAGUAGUCCUAGCCGUAAACGAUGGAAACUAGGUGUAGCCUGUAUCGACCCGGGCUGUGCCGAAGCUAACGCGUUAAGUCUCCCGCCUGGGGAGUACGCACGCAAGUGUGAAACUCAAAGGAAUUGACGGGGGCCCGCACAAGCGGUGGAGUAUGUGGUUUAAUUCGAUGCAACGCGAAGAACCUUACCAGGGCUCGACAUGUCCGGAAUCUUGGUGAAAGCCGAGAGUGCCUUCGGGAGCCGGAACACAGGUAGUGCAUGGCUGUCGUCAGCUCGUGUCGUGAGAUGUUGGGUUAAGUCCCGCAACGAGCGCAACCCUCGUCCUUAGUUGCCAUCAUUCAGUUGGGCACUUUAGGGAGACUGCCGGUGACAAACCGGAGGAAGGUGGGGAUGACGUCAAGUCAUCAUGCCCCUUACGUCCUGGGCUACACACGUACUACAAUGGGGGGGACAAAGGGUAGCCAAGACGCGAGUCUGAGCCAAUCCCGUAAACCUCUCCUCAGUUCAGAUUGCAGGCUGCAACUCGCCUGCAUGAAGGAGGAAUCGCUAGUAAUCGCUGGUCAGCAUACUGCGGUGAAUCCGUUCCCGGGCCU